UACGGCGGGGGCUAGCGUUGUUCGGAAUUACUGGGCGUAAAGCGCACGUAGGCGGCUUGGUAAGUUAGAGGUGAAAGCCUGGAGCUCAACUCCAGAAUUGCCUUUAAGACUGCCGAGCUAGCAGGUGAGAGAGGUGAGUGGAAUUCCGAGUGUAGAGGUGAAAUUCGUAGAUAUUCGGAAGAACACCAGUGGCGAAGGCGGCUCACUGGCUCAUACUGGACGCUGAGGUGCGAAAGCGUGGGGAGCAAACAGG
rnacentral:rRNA from 1 species